rnacentral:tmRNA from 1 species
UUACUGGCUUUUUUUCGUAACCUGAGGGAUAAUGGAAUUGCCAGCUUGCUGGCUAUGACGAUAAACGCGCUGCGGAAUAGGCGAGACGGACCCGGGGGCGGUACCCGGCGGCUCCACCACUUUAAAGCGAUGAAGGCCUGAAAAUGGCCUUUCCGGUUAAGGGGCCGAAACAGGAUCGACGUGCGUAAUAAAGGCGGUUGCUUUCGUCCGGCAUGGUAUCCACCGUUAUCGGGCUAAAAACUAUAAAUGCUAACGACAACAGCCCAGCAAUGGGCCAACUUCGUCUCGUCGCUUAAUCGCGGCCUGACAAGUUAGCAAUCCAAUCCCUCUUCUAGUGAUAGAGGAGGUGGGGCGCGGGGGCAGGCCUAGCAACAGAACUGCCUCCAUU